CUGCCGUUUGUACGUUCGAAUUUCACGUUUAUACGCGAGAAAUGCCAGGUUCGGACCACGGACACGUAAAAUGUAAUAAAACUGCACCGGCGACAAUAUGCUAUUUCGUAUCGAUUAUAAAAAAAAAACCAAUGACGUAACACCGAAACACCGGUUGUAUUGAAUAUACACCCGCGUCCGUUGUCUUCGUAUCUGUGUACCAAGGGUCUCGUAUGCGAGAAUACGUGGCGGAUAAAACACAACUACGAAAAAGGCCCGUUAAAUAAACGUUCGGUUAAACCGUUACAAGGAAAAUGCUGGUCCUGACGACGGGGCUUGUAU